AAAACCAAAAAUUUCAGUUCAAAAACUUCAAUGCAUUAAAAGGAAAUUCAGAGAAUCAAAACAAAGUAGAAUGCAUAUGUUGAGGGAGAGAAUCUGAAUUUUUAAGAAAGCUAAAUCAUUAAAUAUAUAUAAGCCAAACAAUUGAUUGCAUGAUAUGAAGGCUUAUAUAAUUUCAAAUGAAAGGGGGAGCUUUAAUUCCAAAAUUUAUUAUUUCACGCCUUUUAAGCUUGGAUAAAUUAAAUAACCAGACACUUGAAUUCAUUUAUGGAUUUUAUUUCCUUGUUUAUUGAGCAAUUCACUUUACAUAUACUCAAUGUUUUGUCAUCAUCAAAAAGGGGGAGAUUGUGGAGUGAUUGAUCAUAACCCUAUUUGAUUUUGAUGAGCUCAAAGCAUCUGAGUAUAUCUCUUGUUUACUAAUGAAUUUAAUUGAGUGUUUCAGUGAAAAUCUUGUCUAAAGUGUUUCUAGACUUGGUUCAUAAUAUUUUGGAUAAGUUAAGAA
rnacentral:lncRNA from 1 species